CCUACGGGGGGCAGCAGUGAGGAAUAUUGGUCAAUGGACGAGAGUCUGAACCAGCCAAGUAGCGUGAAGGAUGACUGCCCUAUGGGUUGUAAACUUCUUUUAUAUGGGAAUAAAAUGUUACACGUGUGGGAUUUUGUAUGUACCAUAUGAAUAAGGAUCGGCUAACUCCGUGCCAGCAGCCGCGGUAAUACGGAGGAUCCGAGCGUUAUCCGGAUUUAUUGGGUUUAAAGGGAGCGUAGGUGGAUUGUUAAGUCAGUUGUGAAAGUUUGCGGCUCAACCGUAAAAUUGCAGUUGAAACUGGCAGUCUUGAGUACAGUAGAGGUGGGCGGAAUGCGUGGUGUAGCGGUGAAAUGCUUAGAUAUCACGAAGAACUCCGAUUGCGAAGGCAGUUCACUGGACUGCAACUGACACUGAGGCUCGAAAGUGUGGGUAUCAAACAGGAUUAGAUACCCCUGUAGUC
rnacentral:rRNA from 1 species